rnacentral:rRNA from 1 species
AAUGAACGUUGGCGGCGUGGAUUAGGCAUGCAAGUCGUGCGGGCGUAGCAAUACGUCAGCGGCGAAAGGGAGAGUAAUACGUGGAUACCAACCCCUGGGUCGGGGAUAGCCACGGGAAACUGUGGGUAAUACCCGAUAACGUCUCCGGACCAAAGGUGUGAUUCCGCCUGGGGACGGGUCCGCGUCCUAUUAGCUAGUUGGUAGGGUAAUGGCCUACCAAGGCGAAGAUGGGUACGGGGUGUGAGAGCAUGCCCCCGCUCACUGGGACUGAGACACUGCCCAGACACCUACGGGUGGCUGCAGUCGAGAAUCUUCGGCAAUGGGCGCAAGCCUGACCGAGCGACGCCGCGUGCGGGAUGAAGGCCUUCGGGUUGUAAACCGCUGUCAGUGGGGAGGAAAUGCCGGUGGGUUCUCCCAUCGGUUUGACCUGUCCGCAGAGGAAGUACGGGCUAAGUUCGUGCCAGCCGCCGCAUAACAC